UGGGGGACGAAUUUCGUGACGGUACCCCAGGUAACAAGGGGCUGCUAACUUCGUGCCAGCAGCAGCGGUAACACGAAGGCCUCAAACGUUAUCCCGGAAUUACUGGGCUUACAGGGUCCGCAGGCGGUUUAGUAAGUUGGUAGUAAAAUCUUCAGGCUUAACCUGGAGGCUGCUACCAAAACUACUAAACUUGAGGCUGGAAGAGGUGGAUGGAAUUCUCGGUGUAGUCGUAAAAAGCGUUGAUAUCGAGAGGAACACCGAAUGCGAAAGCAAUCCACUGGGACAAGCCUGACGCUCAGGGACGAAAGCAUGGGUAGCGAAGCGGAUUAGAUACCCGCGUAGUCCAUGCCGUAAACAAUGUGCACUAGCUAUUGGGAGUAUCGACCCUCUCAGUGGCGCUUUUAAAAAAGUUAAAGCGUUAAGUGCACCGCCUGGGGAGUACGGCCGCAAGGCUUAAACUCAAAGGAAUAGACGGGGGGCCGCACAAGCGGUGGAUCAUGUGGUUUAAUUCGAUGAUACGCGACGAACCUUACCUGGGCUUGACAUCCAGCUGCACGCCCUUGGAAACAAGGGAAGCCUUCGAGGGUGCUGGACAGGUGUUGCAUGGCCGUCGUCAGCUCGUGCCGUGAGGUGUUCCCUUAAGUGGGAUAACGAGCGUAACCCUUGUCGUAUGUUAAAUGUACAUGCGAGACUGCCGGCGCAAGUCGGAGGAAGGUGAGGAUGACGCCAGGUCAGCAUGGCCCUUACGCCCAGGGCUACACACAUGGUACAAUGGUCGGUACAACGGGCAGCCAACCCGCGAGGGGGAGCUAAUCCUUCAAAACCGAUCUAAGUUCGGAUUGCAGUCUGCAACUCGACUGCAUGAAGCUGGAAUCGCUAGUAAACGCAUAUCACCAACGUUGCGUUGAAUAUGUUCUCGGCCCUUGUACUCACCGCCCGUCACACCACGAAAGUUGGCAACACCCGAAGCUCCACGUAAGU
rnacentral:rRNA from 1 species